UACGAAGGGGGCUAGCGUUGCUCGGAAUUACUGGGCGUAAAGGGCGCGUAGGCGGACAGUUUAGUCAGAGGUGAAAGCCCAGGGCUCAACCCUGGAAUUGCCUUUGAUACUGGCUGUCUUGAGUACGGGAGAGGUGUGUGGAACUCCGAGUGUAGAGGUGAAAUUCGUAGAUAUCGGGAGGAACACCAGUGGCGAAGGCGGAGACCUGGACGGACACUGACGCUGAGACGCGAAAGCGUGGGGAGCAAACAGG
rnacentral:rRNA from 1 species